rnacentral:piRNA from 1 species
UUCUACCGGAAGCUGACGGGACUGCCU